GAAAUGCUGCAGAGACACAGCCGGAAACAGAGCUGGCCAGCUCACGCCUGACCCACCCUCAUUCUAAGCAUAGGGUCUGCCUCUGAAGAGCUAAAGACUUCCUGAAACUUCAAAAUUAGUGCUUUUAUUUGCUUGUCCUGGUGAAACCGUAGGCAAAGGCCAUCCUCCUCCCAUUGACAGUUUAGAGUGGGCAGAAACAACCACGGUUACCCUAGAAGUAAAUCCAGAGCUGUGGGACGCUGGAGGACAAAACCAAUCUUCCAGGGAAGCCGAGGAGAAGUCAUGCCUUCAAAAGAGGAAGAAACUGACAUCUGGAGAAGUUGAAGUAAUUUGCACAAAGAUUCACUUGGCUAAUGGAGUUUUGCUCUGUCACCCAGGCUGGAGUGCAAUGGCGCGAUCUCGCCUCACUGCAACCUCCACCUCCCGAGUUCAAGAGAUUCUCCUGCCUCAGCCUCCCAAGGGCUGGAAAGUUCAAGAUCCAGGCCUCAGAAGAUUUGGGGUUUGGUGAGGGCCAUCUUCUCACUGUAGCCUUACAUGGUGGAAGAGGUAAGGCAGCUCUCUGGAACCUCUUUUAUAAGGGCACUAAUCCCGUUCAUGAGAACCCAGCCCUUAUGACCUCAUCACCUCCUAAAUUCUCUACCUCGUAACACCAUCGCUUUGACAAUCAGAUUUCAACAUAUGAAUUUGUGGGAGUCACCAGCAUUGAGACUAUAGCAACCCCUUAUUAGAAAUCAUUCAUGAGGAACUGAAACUGUUAGGAAACCGCUAUGUAAAUGCUGGGAAACAAAGUCAGAUAAAUAAUGCUGAUAAUUACCUGACUGCUUUUGGAAUUGUCCUUUUUUGUGGCAACUGCUGAACAUGAGACUACAUCAUUGUCAGCUGAUUGCAGAAGAACCACUAUGAUAUUAUAAUGGGGUCCUGACUCCAUGACUGUGUAAUUCAUGGCUUUCUAACAGUUUAUUAUUGACCUAACUUUGCAGCUCCCCUAGAUCCCCUAACUCCACCAUCUUGGGUUGCAACCAAUGACCUGUUAUUGCAAAACAGGUAAUCUCACUUAGAUAGGUAUUAAUCAGAGGGGCUUCAUUUCCAGAGUUCAUUUCAAUGGUUUUCAACUCAUUUCUAGAGUUUAAUAUCAGUAGCCCUUUCUCUUCCAUAGGAGGGAGAUGAACCAUCCUGUUUAUUCAAUAAUCAGUGAAAGCGUGGCUUUAAUGUCUCUUCCACUCCUUUCUAGUUCAGGUCUUUCUUAACUUGACGGAGAUAGCUUGGGCCAGGGAGGGCAGAGUGAAGAUGAGAUGGCAAAAAAAAUGUGUGAACAGUUUUGAUCAGCAGCAUUGACUCUGUGCUAAAUACUGUGCUCAGCUCUUUGGAUGUUAUUUCAUUGAAAUGGAAAGAACAGUGUAAAGUUGUCUUGUGAGGCACACUUUCCUAUUGAGGAAAUAAAAGCAUUAAAUAACUUGCCCCCAAAUACAAAGCUAUUAGAAUUGAAACAAAGACUUGAGCCCAGGAUCUAUCUAAUUUCAAGGUCCUUGUUUUUUUCUACUACAUUUCUCUUUGAGAUACAGUUACUCAAAGGUGUCCAAACUUCAGUUAAUGUCAACCUCUGCCUCACUCUGGUCCUGGUGCCUUUCCCAUGUUCCUGAGAAGAUCAUGUGGCACACUUCUCUAAAUGUCUCUGUGCCAUACCUCUUGGGAUCAAAAGGCCAUUCCAAUAAUUCUUCUGCAUUUCUUAAUGUAUGCUCAGGUGGCCCUGGUUUGCAUUUAGAGAAAUGAAGCUAAGACCUUGGUGAUAACUAAAUAUUUAUAUCUAUUUUUUGAUUAUGUGCUUAUAUUUAAUUAAGUGGGUGCCUACUGUUGUGAAAAUACUUUUGAAUACAAUUCUGAAGUUGUGCCAGGGAACUCUGACAAUGGGUAUGCUGGGAGCUGUCUGAUUUCCUUGUCCUAGGUUCUUACUCAGCUUUUCUAGACAACUCAUACAAUGCAGUAGAAAAAGAAUUCUUUAUUCCCACUGCCUUUCCUUAGCCCUUCUUCAGAGCAGGGGAAGUGUGACUAUAGCUUUAAAUAGUUUAAAUACUCCUUCAAAUAUGGCAAAUAAAACAGUAUAAAUGAAAAAGAAG
rnacentral:lncRNA from 1 species